rnacentral:rRNA from 1 species
UGGGGAAUUUUGGACAAUGGGCGAAAGCCUGAUCCAGCAAUGCCGCGUGUGUGAAGAAGGCCUUCGGGUUGUAAAGCACUUUUGUCCGGAAAGAAAUCCUUGGCUCUAAUACAGUCGGGGGAUGACGGUACCGGAAGAAUAAGCACCGGCUAACUACGUGCCAGCAGCCGCGGUAAUACGUAGGGUGCAAGCGUUAAUCGGAAUUACUGGGCGUAAAGCGUGCGCAGGCGGUUUGCUAAGACCGAUGUGAAAUCCCCGGGCUCAACCUGGGAACUGCAUUGGUGACUGGCAGGCUAGAGUAUGGCAGAGGGGGGUAGAAUUCCACGUGUAGCAGUGAAAUGCGUAGAGAUGUGGAGGAAUACCGAUGGCGAAGGCAGCCCCCUGGGCCAAUACUGACGCUCAUGCACGAAAGCGUGGGGAGCAAAACAGGAUUAGAUACCCUGGUAGUCCACGCCCUAAAACGAUGUCAACUAGUUGUUGGGGAUUCAUUUCCUUAGUAACGUAGCUAACGCGUGAAGUUGACCGCCUGGGGAGUACGGUCGCAAGAUUAAAACUUCAAAUGAAUUGACGGGGUCAUAGCUGUUUCCU